GAUGAAGAACGCAGCGAAAUGCGAUAAGUAAUGUGAAUUGCAGAAUUCAGUGAAUCAUCGAAUCUUUGAACGCACAUUGCGCCCGCCAGCACUCUGGCGGGCAUGCCUGUCCGAGCGUCAUUUCAACCCUCAGGGCCCCUUCGGGGGACCUGGCGUUGGGGAUCGGCCCGCCCCCGUGCGGCGCCGUCCCCGAAAUAUAGUGGCGGUCUCGCUGCAGCCUCCCCUGCGUAGUAGCACACCUCGCACUGGAGAGCGGCGCGGCCACGCCGUGAAACCCCCAACUUCUGAAUGUUGACCUCGGAUCAGGUAGGAAUACCCGCUGAACUUAAGCAUAUCAAUAAGCGGAGGA
rnacentral:misc_RNA from 1 species